AUUGAACGCUGGCGGUAGGCCUAACACAUGCAAGUCGAACGCGAAAGUCCUUCGGGAUGAGUAGAGUGGCGGACGGGUGAGUAACGCGUAGGAAUCUAUCCUGUAGUGGGGGAUAACGUUUCGAAAGGAACGCUAAUACCGCAUACGCCCCAAGGGGGAAAGCGGGGGAGUCUUCGGACCUCGUGCUAUAGGAGGAGCCUGCGUCGGAUUAGCUAGUUGGUGAGGUAAAGGCUCACCAAGGCGACGAUCCGUAGCUGGUCUGAGAGGAUGAUCAGCCACACCGGAACUGAGACACGGUCCGGACUCCUACGGGAGGCAGCAGUGGGGAAUAUUGCGCAAUGGGCGAAAGCCUGACGCAGCCAUACCGCGUGUGUGAAGAAGGCC
rnacentral:rRNA from 1 species